GGGAAUUUUGUACAUGUCACUAUUCCUGGAUCCAAAGGGAACUAUGUUCGAUGGAAUAAUUUCUUAGAGGUAUUACCGCAUCCCCAAGGGUUAGGCCCACUUUUUACAGGUCAGUGGAAUCUUUAUACUCAAAAUCGAUGUUUCCAGUGGCGGACGGGUGAGUAAUACGUAAGGUGCCCUUGGGAGGGGAACAACAGCUAGAAACAAUUGCUAAUACCCCGUAGGCUGAGGAGCAAAAGAAGGAAUCCGCCCAAGGAGGGGCUUGCGUCUGAUUAGCUAGUUGGUGAGGCAGUAGCUUCAACCCUUUGAGUGAAAUGCGGC
rnacentral:lncRNA from 1 species